UUUUAAAAAAAGAACAAGAAAGGGUAAAAUACAAAAACAGGUGAGGCGAGGCGAGACCGUGAGAGAGAAGAUAGACGAAAUAAGGGUUGAUGAGACGUUGGUUUCAGAAGAGUAAUGAUUGGAUUGCACCUGGCGACACAGAAGCUUACAAAUUUCACAAGAAAUCUUCCAUUUCUAUCUUCUCAUGCAAACCGGAGGUGUUUCGGGAUACGGUUUGGAGAAAGAGAUGGAUUCCCUGUGAUGUGGUUGCGUAGUCGUCUAUGUGGUUGUUCACAGUAGAAGAUCCAGUAACCAUCUAUCCGUAAUUUUUCUUUUCGGCAAAGGACUGUUGAUGCUAUUUUAAGGGUCUUCUGUAUUUUAGAAGGCCCUUUGGAUUGGAUUUGAGGCUUAAAACUUCAUCUUGUGCCUAUCGACUCCUUUGCUUCGACGGCGUUCGCUGAACUGUCAUCUAGGUUGCAGUUGUUCCUGUGAUUGUUACGAUUUCGACAUCAUGCCAGCCAUACAGAAGCUUUAUAAUGCCUGUAAAGUAUCUCUUUCACCCGAUGGACCCGUAUCAAAUGAAGCUCUUCAAAAAGUUCGUGCCCUCCUAGACAAAAUUAAGCCCUCUGAUGUUGGUCUUGAGCAGGAGGCACAGUUGGUCCGUGCAUGGACAGGUUCUGUGCGUCAGCGUAAUGGCACUGUUCUUCAGUCAGUGCCACCAAUCAGAUACCUGCAUUUACAUGAGUGUGAAAGCUUCUCUAUGGGAAUAUUCUGCAUGCAACCUUCUUCUACCAUACCUCUUCAUAAUCAUCCCGAAAUGACUGUGUUGAGCAAACUUCUAUAUGGCACAUUGCAUGUAGAAUCAUUUGAUUGGGUUGACAAGCUUAAUGAUGAAGUGCAAGCAAGACCCGCAAAGCUUGUUAAGGACGCCGAGAUGAGGGCCCCCUGUGAGCCAACCAUUCUCUACCCAGCCAGUGGAGGCAACAUCCAUCAUUUCAAAGCUGUUACUCCUUGUGCUUUCUUUGACAUCCUGUCUCCGCCUUACUCGGCCAAGGAUGGACGACAUUGUACUUAUUUCCAGAAGUCUCGAGCAGCAGAUUUGCCAGGUACUCUUGAAUUGGAUGGCUCGACUGUGGAGGUGACCUGGCUGGAAGAAUACCAACUCCCAGAUGAAUUUAUGAUCCAGAGAGUGCCAUAUAGGGGUCGACCAAUCAGGACCUGACGAAUAGUUUCAUUUUUGGCAUUGAUCUUAAUUUUCAAAUGAAUUGAGUGCUAAAUUUGGGUAAUUUUAAGGUUUAUGCUAAAUGUCAUGGUCGAUUCUUCAAGCCCUGAAACCGUGCGACCGUAGUGUCCCAAAUGGCUCUUGGCGAUUUUAAGUCAGGCUACUCAAUGUACACUCAAGCCGAAGGAGCCCUCAUGCGCAAGAACAAAUGAAAAGUGCACACAAGGAAGCAUGAGGAUGCAAAAUAAUGUGGGAAAGGUAAGUAUGCUAUUCACUAGGGAGAGAAGGAUGUACACUCUCAAACACGUUCAAGCUCAAGUCCUUACCUAUAAAACUCUCAAGCUUUGCAAUUUGGGGUGGUUUUUGUAUAUUUAUAGACCAGACGAUCGCUUAAAUUUGGCAACAAAAUGCCCGCUUUAACUCAAAUUUCAAAUUAGCUCGUGUAGCUUUUCACA